rnacentral:rRNA from 1 species
GACGAACGCUGGCGGCGUGCUUAACACAUGCAAGUCGAGCGGUAAGGCCCUUUCGGGGGUACACGAGCGGCGAACGGGUGAGUAACACGUGGGUGACCUGCCUUUAGCUCUGGGAUAAGCCUGGGAAACCGGGUCUAAUACCGGAUAUGACUCCGCGGCGCAUGUUGUGGGGUGGAAAGCCUUGUGCGGCUGGAGACGGGCCCGCGGCCUAUCAGCUUGUUGGUGGGGUGAUGGCCUACCAAGGCGACGACGGGUAGCCGGCCUGAGAGGGCGACCGGCCACACUGGGACUGAGACACGGCCCAGACUCCUACGGGAGGCAGCAGUGGGGAAUCUUGCGCAAUGGGCGAAAGCCUGACGCAGCGACGCCGCGUGA